rnacentral:lncRNA from 1 species
UUCUUGGCCACAGCCUUGGGGCCUGCCAUGGAAGAAUGCAGGGAGGAGCUGAUAGGCAGGCUGCUAGGAGACAGAGCAGCCAUGUGUGCAUGCUGUCCUGAGUGGCACACAUGCACAUAUGGGCGUGCACAUACGCACACAAGGGCGUGCACACACUCUCAGGGACACAGGUGUGCAGCCCCUGCCCUCACACACACACCCUCACACAUCUACACAAUGCACAUGUGCAUGUGUACACACACCUUCACACACGCAAUAUACCCACACGUGCACGUCCACACUUACACCCACUCAUACACACACCCAUGUGCAUGUGCACACACUCACACCUUCACACACAAUACAUAAACAGGCACACACUCAAAUGCUCACAUUCACAUUCAUACACACACACACGCACAUGCACUCACAUACCCACUAACUCACUGUCACAAUCACAAACGUACACAAAUCCACGUAUCUAUUAUGCAUGUGUAUGUACAUGCCUUUUCAUUCUCUCUCUCCCUGACCCUGACCCACACCCACUGUGCAUGCUACUAGAGAGUGAGCUUCAGGAAGGCAAAUGCUGGGGCUGUUUCAGUCACUGCUGUAUCUCUUGAACCUGACAGAAACCAGGGACUUAGAAGCUACUCCACUUCCCAGCCCAUCUCCAAAACAGCCUAUUCCCAAGUCCAUCUUAGGCUGGCAAAAGGAGCUGAACGCUUUUUCCUUUGUACUCCAAACAUGUGUUGAAGGUUCUCGCUGCAUGUUGACCCAGAGAACAAACCCAGAUUUCUUUUUUAUUGAGCAUAUUGAACUUCUCAUGUACUCUUAAAGUAUUUUACAUGCAUUAUCUGAUUUGCUGCUCACAAAAAAUGCAAUUAAGUUAGAUGUGCUAAUUAGCCCUCAUGUGGGGCCGGGAGGGCUGGGAGUGGGCUCCAACCUAGGCAUCAGCUGGGUCAGCUUCCACUUAUGCCUCUGUGACCCCUGGAUUUGGUGGNNNNNGGGGGGGGGUCUACAAGGCCUUCUAGAGGUAAAAAUAGGUACUAUUUUUAUCCUUAUUUGAUAGAAGAGCAAACUGAAGCUCAGAGAGGUAAAAUGACUCACCCGGGUCACACAGCCUCUACCUUCCUGCGCCCUUUCUGCUAGACCCCACCACCUGCACUAUUUAUACCCUCUCUCCCUAGUGGGUGGUGAUCUCUGUUUCUUAGCAAGCACCCAGUUUUUUGCAACCAACCUAGGCCAUGUCUGAAGUGUGAGUCAUAAGCACAAAGGCCCUGCUUGUCGGCCAAGAGAGCAUCAUCACAUUUGACACCCGAGGAGAGACUUCAAUCCCACUGAAGAGUGGAUUUUCACAGGAGGAUCUCUCAUCUGGCACUUCCUGACCAUGUGACAUGGGGCAUAUUGUUUUACCUUUUGAGCCUCUGUAUCCAUAUCUAUAAAAUGGGGUUAAUAUCUACCUCCGAGGUAGUUGUGAAACAGCACAGUUGAUUUGUUCCUGCUUACAAAUAAUCUUUCUGUAAAUAAUUUAUAAAUUCCUGACUCAGGGAACUCCAACUCACCAAUUGACACUUUAUCACCCCCCAGGAUUCGUUUUGCUUUACUAGGCAGUCACCCUGCGCUACAGCCCCACGGAGAUUUAGCAGGCAAAGAAAAGUGCCACGCCUUUUCCCUAGAAGCUGUCCUAUAGCACGGUUGAUUUCCCACCCUGGAAGUGGCUGCUGGGUUUGGGGAUCCAAUCAGAGGAUUCCACAACAUCCCCAAAGAAGGCUGUGUGGGGGUGGUAAUGGGGUUGAAAUAAAACCCCAACAGAAGUAGGGGGGUCCAGGAUCAAAUCCAAGCCAGAAUGGGAAGGCAGCUGCAGGGAAAGCUUGCCCUGGGGGGUAGGCAAAGGGGCCCCUCCAACAGGGAGAAGGUAG